rnacentral:rRNA from 1 species
ACUCAAAUGAAUAGACGGGGACUUGCACAAGCAGUGGAUUAUGUGGUUUAAUUCGAUGUCAAACGAAGAACCUCACCAGGGUUUGAAACUCAGACGAAGACUUUUGGAAACAUUUGUCGUCCCACAAGGACGUCUGAGCAGGUGAUGCAUGGCCGUCGUCAGUUCGUGGUUUGAAUUGUUCCCUUAAGUGGGGUAACGAACGCAACCCUCGUUGCCUGUUACAAGUGUCAGGCGAGACUGCCCCCGAUUCUGUUCAUAAUUUCUUUGCGCCGCUGGCGCAAAGAAAUUGUUAGUAGAAUCGGGGGAGGAAGGCGAGGAUGACGCCAGGUCAGCAUGUCCCUCUGAUAUCCUGGGCUACACACAUAAUACAAUCGGUGCGACAACGCGUCGCGACGGGGAAACCCUGAGCCAAUCGUUAUAAACGCACCGCCAGUUCGGAUUGAGGUCUGCAACUCGACCUCAUGAAGCCGGAAUUGCUAGUAAUCGCAGGUCAGCUAUACUGCGGUGAAUACGUUCUCAAGUCUUGUACACACCGCCCGU